UAUGACUGGAAUACGGUUAAAAGUGUCGUUAACCCCAACUCACUCACUCACUCACUUUCAAUAAAGUCAGUCUCAUUAGAAAAUGAUCCUGGUAUGCAUUAAAAAAUAACAAUAAAAAUUCUAAACAUCUCUAAGUAGCAAAAGGUACCAUUUGACAACCUGGUCUUUGUUUGUGUAAAUGUGGCCUAGUUGAUUUUAUUGCUAUUUUGUAAAUAUUUAAGUAAAGUCUCUUCAUUUUCUUGUUUCUGUUGUAGCCCGUUUCUGUCUCAAGCUAUAGAUUACUUGAGCAGUAUAAAAACAACAACAAUUAGACCAGCUCCAGUACUUACAUAACUACUAACAUAACAAUAGCCACUUUCACCUUUACAGCCACCAACAGCACAAGCGUCUUGCUUUGUUUUCCUUCCCAGCUUCUGUAUUAUGUAAGUAAAAGGUUUCUUCUGUUUUGGGCUGACUUUGCUAAAUUAGUUGGUCACUAACACUUGAAGGAAAUCAGUGGUUCUGUGGAUUGCAUUCAAAUCAGUGGAUGAUAUAUUUGUUGUGUUCAGGAUCUCUAUAAGGUUAGUUUGUGUUUGGUUCAUAUUUAUGUAUCUUGUAGAUAUGUCUGUGUAUUUAGUUUUAUGAAUUAGAUGCAUUAAGGUAAUGCAUUGAUUGGUAAUUAUACAUAUUAUAUAUAUAUAUCUAUAUCUGUCAAACUGAAAAUAGUUUAAACAUAAACUAGUACUUCAUAAUAAGUAUACAUGUUAUCUCGAUAUCUUCAGAUAUUCUAUACCUUCCCUCUUAAUUUGUUAAACACUUUAGUUAAACCUAAACUAAAUCUAUAAUCAAAUUUAACUAUUAAUCACUACUUAAAUACCAUCUAACUACAUGUGUGAAUGCAGUAUGUAUGUAUGUAGAUUAUGAUUGAAUGGAUACAUAUGAAAAGGUAAUUUUACAUGUUCUUAAUUUUAUUGGCCAUUUCCUAUUUCUUAUGCGGCCUUAUUGUUUUAAUUUUUCUAGAAUAUGGCAAUCGAUGUUACCAUGCCCGUGAUCUGCCAAUGCUAACAUAGUUGCCAGCUCAUUGCCACACAGUGGUAAGUUUUGUGUACAUUGUGUUUAUAUUAUGUUUGUAUCAUGGCAAUUUGUAGAGGCGGUAUUUAUGUAACCAACCCUCUUAAGUAUUUUUAGAUGUAAUUUGGCUCAAAACCACAAGGGUGAGUGUAACUAUCAAGUAUAAAUAAUGUUUAUAGUAUGCAGAGCAUAUUAAAUUGGAUGAACUGUUUAUGCAUUGGUGUGUUGAUACUAUGUGAUAUGUUUGUUAUAUUUCAUCUAUUAGAUAUUUUCAUUGUAUUUUUAUACAUAUUUGCAGAGUUCAGAAACAACAAGCGUAUGUGCAAAUAUAGUCAGCUGUCAACUCACACCCCAGUAGCCUGUUCUGUGUUUGCUGCCCUAACCGGAGCCUUCCCGCUACUACAUAACGUGUUAUGAAAGAAUACCUUAUAGUUUUAGAGAUAUGGUUCAGACGAACACACCACUAUGAAAAGAGUCAAAGUCAAACUUGUUGCCAUGGAAACAAGAUUUUUUUUAAACUCCUUGAUAGCAAAAGGCACAACUUCAGCCCUUGAUUAAUACGUGUAGGAUCAAAACCGCGUCCGAGGCCGAAAGGCCCGACCCCCUUUCCCGAGGCCAAGGGCAAGGGCAUACUUCCCAAACAAAACCGAGGGCAAGUUUUUGAUCUCACUUAUGAACUGAUCAAAUAAUAUGAUUUAGAAAUAAUUUUACUGAUUGGUAUUAACAUGACUUCAUUGAUAUUUACUGUUGAGAGUUUAACUGCAAUACGCGGGGAGUACAUCCGCGCGCAUCACGUGCUUCAGGCCCGUUGUAACAAUGAGCGCAUGUGGUUCAAGCAAAUCGAAUGAAUUCCACUGAAGAGGAUGGACGCAGACAACAACGAUAUAUUUCUGACGCAGUCAGUUUUUAAAGAAUCGGCAUCCUGUGCUGAAGAAGACAAAGAAAGUGAUGACUUUAAAUUCCGUUUAGGAGAUCCACUCUCCGAGCGUGAAAUAGCCUUACAAGUGCAAGACGUCCGGUAUUGAGGGCAUGAAGACAAACCAUUCCUUGAGAGCCACGGCAGCCACUCGACUGUAUCAAGGUGACGUUGAUGAACAAAUGAUUUGCGAAAAUACCGGACAUCGGAGCGACGCCGUAUGUUGAAAAAAAUAACUCGCCAUCACGUGAAGAAGCUAAUCCGAAAAGAGCAGAUGACCAAUGACCUGAAGACAAACAAAAUCGAACUGUGACGCUCAAUUUCAAUUUCAUCUAAUAUCAAUAAAUAGUUGAGCCAU